rnacentral:rRNA from 1 species
GAACCGGAGAGUUUGAUCAUGGCUCAGAUUGAACGCUGGCGGUAGGCUUAACACAUGCAAGUCGGACGGCAGCAGGCCGUAACAAUCCCUUCGGGGUGCGUUUGGUGCUGGCGAGUGGCGGACGGGUGAGUAAUACGUAGGAAUCUGCCCAACAGUGGGGGACAACCCGGGGAAACCCGGGCUAAUACCGCAUACGCCCUACGGGGGAAAGCGGGGGACUUUAGGGCCUCGCGCUGUUGGAUGAGCCUGCGGCGGAUUAGCUUGUUGGUGAGGUAAAAGCUCACCAAGGCGACGAUCCGUAGCUGGUCUGAGAGGAUGAUCAGCCACACUGGGACUGAGACACGGCCCAGACUCCUACGGGAGGCAGCAGUGGGGAAUAUUGCACAAUGGGCGCAAGCCUGAUGCAGCCAUACCGCGUGUGUGAAGACGGCCUUCGGGUUGUAAAGCACUUUCAGCAGGGAAGAAAAGUUCGCAGUUAAUAACUGCGGACCUUGACGGUACCUGCAUAAGAAGCACCGGCUAACUCCGUGCCAGCAGCCGCGGUAAUACGGAGGGUGCAA